UGGGGAAUAUUGGACAAUGGGCGCAAGCCUGAUCCAGCCAUGCCGCGUGUGUGAAGAAGGCCUUAUGGUUGUAAAGCACUUUAAGCGAGGAGGAGGCUACUUUAGUUAAUACCUAGAGAUAGUGGACGUUACUCGCAGAAUAAGCACCGGCUAACUCUGUGCCAGCAGCCGCGGUAAUACAGAGGGUGCGAGCGUUAAUCGGAUUUACUGGGCGUAAAGCAUGCGUAGGCGGCUAAUUGAGUCGGAUGUGAAAUCCCCGAGCUUAACUUGGGAAUUGCAUUCGAUACUGGUUAGCUAGAGUGUGGGAGAGGAUGGUAGAAUUCCAGGUGUAGCGGUGAAAUGCGUAGAGAUCUGGAGGAAUACCGAUGGCGAAGGCAGCCAUCUGGCCUAACACUGACGCUGAGGUACGAAAGCAUGGGGAGCAAACAGG
rnacentral:rRNA from 1 species